rnacentral:tRNA from 1 species
GUGGGUAAGGUAUAGCUCAAGUGCACAUGCUUAACAUGCAUGAGGUCCUGGGUUCAAUCCCCAGUACCCCCU